rnacentral:rRNA from 1 species
GGUUAAGCGACUAAGCGUACACGGUGGAUGCCCUGGCAGUCAGAGGCGAUGAAGGACGUGCUAAUCUGCGAAAAGCGCCGGCGAGGUGAUAUGAACCUUUGACCCGGCGAUGUCCGAAUGGGGAAACCCAGUGCAAUCCGUUGCACUAUCGUUAACUGAAUACAUAGGUUAACGAGGCGAACCGGGGGAACUGAAACAUCUAAGUACCCCGAGGAAAAGAAAUCAACCGAGAUUCCCCCAGUAGCGGCGAGCGAACGGGGAGCAGCCCGGAGUCUGAAUCAGCUUGUGUGUUAGUGGAACGGUCUGGAAAGUCCGACGGUACAGGGUGAUAGUCCCGUACACGAAAGCACACAUGCUGUGAACUCGAAGAGUAGGGCGGGACACGUGGUAUCCUGUCUGAAUAUGGGGGGACCAUCCUCCAAGGCUAAAUACUCCUGACUGACCGAUAGUGAACCAGUACCGUGAGGGAAAGGCGAAAAGAACCCCGGCGAGGGGAGUGAAAAAGAACCUGAAACCGUGUACGUACAAGCAGUGGGAGCCUCUUUAUGGGGUGACUGCGUACCUUUUGUAUAAUGGGUCAGCGACUUAUAUUCUGUAGCAAGGUUAACCGUAUAGGGGAGCCGAAGGGAAACCGAGUCUUAACUGGGCGUUAAGUUGCAGGGUAUAGACCCGAAACCCGGUGAUCUAGCCAUGGGCAGGUUGAAGGUUGGGUAACACUAACUGGAGGACCGAACCGACUAAUGUUGAAAAAUUAGCGGAUGACCUGUGGCUGGGGGUGAAAGGCCAAUCAAACCGGGAGAUAGCUGGUUCUCCCCGAAAGCUAUUUAGGUAGCGCCUCGUGAACUCAUCUUCGGGGGUAGAGCACUGUUUCGGCUAGGGGGCCAUCCCGGCUUACCAACCCGAUGCAAACUACGAAUACCGAAGAAUGUUAUCACGGGAGACACACGGCGGGUGCUAACGUCCGUCGUGAAGAGGGAAACAACCCAGACCGCCAGCUAAGGUCCCAAAGUCAUGGUUAAGUGGGAAACGAUGUGGGAAGGCACAGACAGCCAGGAUGUUGGCUUAGAAGCAGCCAUCAUUUAAAGAAAGCGUAAUAGCUCACUGGUCGAGUCGGCCUGCGCGGAAGAUGUAACGGGGCUAAACCAUGCACCGAAGCUGCGGCAGCGACGCUUAUGCGUUGUUGGGUAGGGGAGCGUUCUGUAAGCCGUUGAAGGUGUCCUGUGAGGGGUGCUGGAGGUAUCAGAAGUGCGAAUGCUGACAUAAGUAACGAUAAAGCGGGUGAAAAGCCCGCUCGCCGGAAGACCAAGGGUUCCUGUCCAACGUUAAUCGGGGCAGGGUGAGUCGACCCCUAAGGCGAGGCCGAAAGGCGUAGUCGAUGGGAAACAGGUUAAUAUUCCUGUACUUGGUGUUACUGCGAAGGGGGGACGGAGAAGGCUAUGUCAGCCGGGCGACGGUUGUCCCGGUUUAAGCAUGUAGGCGGAGGUUCCAGGUAAAUCCGGUACCUUAUUAACGCUGAGGUGUGAUGACGAGGCACUACGGUGCUGAAGUGAUAAAUGCCCUGCUUCCAGGAAAAGCCUCUAAGCAUCAGGUAACACGAAAUCGUACCCCAAACCGACACAGGUGGUCAGGUAGAGAAUACCAAGGCGCUUGAGAGAACUCGGGUGAAGGAACUAGGCAAAAUGGUGCCGUAACUUCGGGAGAAGGCACGCUGAUAUGUAGGUGAAGUCCCUGCGGACGGAGCUGAAAUCAGUCGAAGAUACCAGCUGGCUGCAACUGUUUAUUAAAAACACAGCACUGUGCAAACACGAAAGUGGACGUAUACGGUGUGACGCCUGCCCGGUGCCGGAAGGUUAAUUGAUGGGGUUAGCGGCAACGCGAAGCUCUUGAUCGAAGCCCCGGUAAACGGCGGCCGUAACUAUAACGGUCCUAAGGUAGCGAAAUUCCUUGUCGGGUAAGUUCCGACCUGCACGAAUGGCGUAAUGAUGGCCAGGCUGUCUCCACCCGAGACUCAGUGAAAUUGAACUCGCUGUGAAGAUGCAGUGUACCCGCGGCAAGACGGAAAGACCCCGUGAACCUUUACUAUAGCUUGACACUGAACACUGGUCCUUGAUGUGUAGGAUAGGUGGGAGGCUUUGAAGCGUGGACGCCAGUCUGCGUGGAGCCAACCUUGAAAUACCACCCUUUAAUGGCUGGUGUUCUAACGUAGACCCGUAAUCCGGGUUGCGGACAGUGUCUGGUGGGUAGUUUGACUGGGGCGGUCUCCUCCCAAAGAGUAACGGAGGAGCACGAAGGUUGGCUAAUCCUGGUCGGACAUCAGGAGGUUAGUGCAAUGGCAUAAGCCAGCUUGACUGCGAGCGUGACGGCGCGAGCAGGUGCGAAAGCAGGUCAUAGUGAUCCGGUGGUUCUGAAUGGAAGGGCCAUCGCUCAACGGAUAAAAGGUACUCCGGGGAUAACAGGCUGAUACCGCCCAAGAGUUCAUAUCGACGGCGGUGUUUGGCACCUCGAUGUCGGCUCAUCACAUCCUGGGGCUGAAGUAGGUCCCAAGGGUAUGGCUGUUCGCCAUUUAAAGUGGUACGCGAGCUGGGUUUAGAACGUCGUGAGACAGUUCGGUCCCUAUCUGCCGUGGGCGCUGGAGAAUUGAGGGGGGCUGCUCCUAGUACGAGAGGACCGGAGUGGACGCAUCACUGGUGUUCGGGUUGUCAUGCCAAUGGCACUGCCCGGUAGCUAAAUGCGGAAGAGAUAAGUGCUGAAAGCAUCUAAGCACGAAACUUGCCCCGAGAUGAGUUCUCCCUGAGACUUUAAGUCUCCUGAAGGAACGUUGAAGACUACGACGUUGAUAGGUCGGGUGUGUAAGCGCAGCGAUGCGUUGAGCUAACCGAUACUAAUGAACCGUGAGGCUUAACCUU